ACUUUCAACAACGGAUCUCUUGGUUCUGGCAUCGAUGAAGAACGCAGCGAAAUGCGAUAAGUAAUGUGAAUUGCAGAAUACAGUGAAUCAUCGAAUCUUUGAACGCACAUUGCGCCCGCCGGUAUUCCGGCGGGCAUGCCUGUUCGAGCGUCAUUUCA
rnacentral:rRNA from 1 species